CUGGGCUGUGGUUGAGAACGACGUCAGCUGUUGAAAUGUGAAGUGGUUACAGCUGAUUUCCAGGAAAAUACAGGGAUAACGGCCAAAAGCCAGAGCAUGGAAGGGUGGCAGCAAAGGGGACGCAUGGAAAGGGGCAGAACAGCUUCCUCCCAGAUGAGUUGGCAGCCUUUUUGGAAGUCUCUGACACCUGCUGUGGCUCAUUGGACAGUUCUGAAGCACGCGGCAACAUCUAACUGCAAGGGAAGCUAAGAAAUGCAACCAUUUAGCCAGGCAUAUUGCUCUGAGCAGAGCUGGGAGAUUCCUGCUGGAGAAGGGAGGCUGGGAAGAGGUGGCAGGCAGCAGCUCUGCCAGCCAGGGUGAAUUCCUGUUAAAAUGCCUGUUUAUUCCCAUUUUGGCUUUCUUUUGCUGACCACAGCUUUGGGGAUCUUUGGACAAUGGGUUCAUAUCCAUAGCAGGUGAAGAGUAAGGGAGAACUAACAUGCCCCCUGCAAGAACACAUUAGCCCUUGUAAAUCAAUCGUUCCUCUGCC
rnacentral:lncRNA from 10 species